ACAGUAGUACAAACAUGAAUAACAUUGCUGCUUUUGGUGUUCAGGCAAGCACAUCUGUUCACGGUGCUAGACUACAUCACGUAGCAUGCCAGACGGACCCACCAAAGAUGCGCACACAUGGAACGCAGCUUUCUAUGAAAACACUGCGACCUCACUACAAAAGUACAGGCACACAGAAAACUGUGCUGCACUGAUGUCGGUGUUGGGACCUCAGCUGUAAGAGACCUCGCUUGGAGGAGGGAGAGGACAAGAUGUGACAUUACAUGGAUAACCUGUUGGACCUCAUCUUUCACGAGGUUUUUCAGGACCCGGCCCCAUAUGUGAAUGAGCUGCUGAAGAUCUCAAAACCUGAGGAUCUCUCUGCCUAGUAUGAGAAACCUGACAAGCAGGAAGUUAUUGCCAGCUAUGUGUCGAGUUUCAAUCAAGGGCAGGUCUGAACCCUGUAUAACUUCCCUGAGCAUCAGGGAACACUCUGCGGAUCUGGAGCACCGAGCAGGAGGGCAGGACCACCCUGAUUCUCCGGCCCAGAGGGCCUCAACACCAGCUCACAAAGCUUCUGUACGCCAAAUACCUGUAACGGCUGAGCAA